rnacentral:rRNA from 1 species
UGGGGAAUCUUGCACAAUGGGGGCAACCCUGAUGCAGCGACGCCGCGUGAGCGAUGAAGCCCUUCGGGGUGUAAAGCUCUUUCGGCAGGGAAGAUUAUGACGGUACCUGCAGAAGCAGCUGCGGCUAACUACGUGCCAGCAGCCGCGGUAAUACGUAGGCAGCAAGCGUUGUUCGGAGUUACUGGGCGUAAAGGGUGCGUAGGCGGCUCGAUAAGUAUGGUGUGAAAUCUCCCGGCUUAACUGGGAGGGUGCGCUAUAAACUGCCGGGCUAGAGUGUGGGAGAGGAAAGUGGAAUUCCUGGUGUAGCGGUGAAAUGCGUAGAUAUCAGGAGGAACACCGGUGGUGUAAACGGCUUUCUGGACCAUAACUGACGCUGAGGCACGAAAGCGUGGGUAGCAAACAGG